GAAGGCAGUUCUUCAUUUCAUCCAGAGGCUGCUCAGCUCAGAAAGUGUGGAGAACUGUGCAGCAUGGGAUAUGGUAGCACACGUUUUCAGGGAAUUCAGUGUGUCCACCAGCAAACUGGCUAUUCCGGAAGAAAACACUAUCCAAAUCCUGUGCACUGACAUCCUGCAAUGUCUGGACACCUCAGUCACUGGAAUGACCCAAGUGUUAUGGCCAAGGCUUCUGGAAUAUGUGGUGCCAGCUCAGUACACUGGUACUUUGAAGCCUCUCUGCAGAUGCCUUAGGGAGCUGGCUGAGAAAAAGCAGCAGGAAGGAGAAGAAGCUGCUUGCCUCAACUACAGUGGACCAGUGAAACUCCCUACACCCCAGAGGCUGCUGGCACGACUCCUGGUAGUGGCCUCGUCCCCUUAUGCAGGAGAAGGACACGGAUGUGCUGCCUUGCAGUUACUACAGGCCCUGCACCAAAAUAUCCAUGCAGCAGUGGGUGAGACGUGGGUAGUAAAGAUCCCAUCUCUGCUGCAGUACAUUGAAGGAAACACGGAGAAUUCCCUGGACCACGCGCGGUGGGAGCACAUGCUGCUUCAGUUCCUAAGAACAUCUCUGGCGAUGAUAGAUGACAGUGCCUGGAGCAGCCAGAUAAGCCUUGAGUUGAACCAGCAGAUGGCCAGCUAUACCAGCCCCUCCCGUGAGAAGAGUUUCCUGUAUAAGGCGCUAGGAACGUCCUUAGCAGUUUGUCAGGACCUGGUCCAUGUUAAAUCCCAGCUUCAUCAAUUUUUGACAGCAACAGAUUAUAUGGAAGCCCCUGAGAGACAGGGAGUCAUUUCCAUCCUCGCGUUCUCUGCUGAGAGCCACUUGGACCUCACCCUGAACGCACUUCAGGAGUUUGGGGCUGCAAUGAGCAAGGUUAAGAUUUCUGGGUUCAUCAGCCGCCUGAAGGACUACCACCAUGGGAGAAGAGACAAGACUCGCAGCACCCUGAUGCUGACCUACAGCAGCGUGGCUGUCCAUGCUCCAAAAGACCAGCUUCUCUCCCGGGUAGAGGCAGACAUCACAAGGAACAUCCUUCUCCAUUACAGAGCCAGUUGUCAGGUGCUGGGCAUCACUGUUGCGAACAAGGACAUGAACCUAAAAUUAACCCUCAUCCACAAUGUCAUGGAUAUUAGCUGUGCCAUCUUGGAGACCAAAGACUCCCAGGAGUUCGAAUUCUCGUACAAACUGGAGCUCCUUGGCUACAUGCUGGACUUCAUUAAACAGGAACCACUGGAUUCCCUGGCAUCUCCAGUUCGCUACCAGGCGAUUCUUGCCAUUAUACAUCUGAGCAAGCUCAAACCAUCUCUGACCAUGGAGGAAAACCGUGCGCUCCUUGAUCAGUGCUUCAGAAGUUUAUUUCCCCUUCCUCCCUUGGAGAUGAUGAAAGAGGAAGGCGAGACAGCAAAGGAUGCUGUGCCUAUACAAUCACUCUACGUGAGGUCCAUGGAAGCCCUUGGCAAGCUAAUGGAGACAUUGCUGGAGGAAGCACCAACCGCAGACUGGUUCCAGGAAAUGUUUGAUCUCCUAAGGACAUGGAUCAGUUCAGGGAAGGAGUGGGAGAGAGAAAGGGCCUUGCAGGCCAGCAUCCAGCUGCUGACUGCCUAUCGAGAGACAGUUCAUAGCACAACUCAGGAAACUUUUAAUCAGUUUGGAUCUCUGAUUGGAGCAAUAGCACCAUACAGCUGUGAUUCACUGGCCACGUCUCGUCAGUGGGUGGUUGACUGUAUCAGCUGCCUUCUCUGUAUACAAGGCCAGCCCAUGAACCUGGGGUCAGCGGUGGAGGAGCUGAGAUGUCUCUGUGACGAACUAACAACAGCUCCAGACCCUGAGGCUUUGUUUCAGGCAUCUUCCAAAAUGGCCAAGGUUGUUAGUGAGUACUUUCCCCCAGAACAGGCCACAGCCUUUAUUGAGGCCACAGUGGAUGGUAUGCUGUCUGCCAGCCCCACCUGUGCCAUGGCAGCUGGACUGUGGAUGAAGAUCAUCCUUAAGGAGUGUGGAGAUGCCAUGCUGGACCAGGUGCCAGCUAUUCUGGAUAUAAUAUAUAGCCACAUGGCUACUAUCCAGGAGAGCAGCUUGAGGCAAUUCCUGCUGGAGGCAGUGUCUAUUCUGGCUCACCAUCACCUAGAGGCAGUGAUCUCCAGCCUACUCAGCAACCAUCUGCCGAUGGACAGUGACACCACUGAACUGUGGAGAUCUCUGGGGGGAGACCCCUUGCUUGCCACUCAAGUCCUAUGGGUCCUAAUAGAAAAAAUAAAGACUUCAACAAGCCAAGAAGGCAGCAUCACCUCAGAGACUGAAACUGACAGGCAUUUGGCAGCUGCUGAACCUCUCUCAGCAACAUGUGCCAUCUUUGAGGUGGUGUCAGCACUGCAGUCGAGCAAAGCUGUGCAGGAGCUGCUCCCAGAGUUGUUUCCUGUUCUCCUGCAGCAGGUCAGCCGAACCUCAGGACAAAAGAUGCCUUUGCCAAGGAUAAGAAGCCAGAGCCUAUUCCAAAAUGACCAACAACAUACUGAGGGCAACCUUUGCCGGUUUUCUGUCCAAGCGUUAGAAUCUGUGCUUUUCAAAGUUGGGAAUGAGAGACUGGUGAGAGUGCUCAGGAUGCAGAAAACAUGGAUUCUGCUUGAAAACCCCCAGACUCACCAUGAGGGAGUGUGUCUGCUGGUGAGAGUUCUGCUAAGAUUUGGACUAAUAACACCUGAGAUCAUCCAGAGCCUCCUCCCCUGGGUGAAUUCCCCAAUGGAAAACUUCCGAGUCACCGGCACAGCUUUCCUUGCCCAGCUAAUGAGUGAUCCCAUGCUCAGGGAGAAGAAGUUGCUUAAGAGUGUCUUGCGCAUCUUGGAAGAAAGGUCACAGGAUAGGAACAGCAUUGUCCGUCAGAUGGCUGUAAGAGGCCUGGGAAAUAUUGUCGAUGGGGCGCCUGUGAAGGUGAAAAAAUACAAGAAGUUUCUUCUGGACAUACUGAUCGGGACCUUACAUGACGUUUUCAGUUCUGAAGUGAUUGGUGAGAGCAUGAAAGCACUGGCCAAAGUCCUGAAGGAGCUGAAAGAGAAGGACAUUGGUUCUUCCUUCAAAAACCUCACCGAACAGAUCCAGACCUACUUUGACAAUGAGGACGAUGCUCUUCGCUCAGUGGCCUUUGUCCUAUUUGGCAUCCUGGCUCAGUUGACAAAGAAAAAAUGGAAGGCCUAUUUCGCUGAGCAGGUUCGAAAGAGCUGGGUCAUACUUCUGCUGCACCUGCAAGACCCAAGCCCCAAGGUUUCAAUGGAAUGCAGAGCUACAUUUCACCUCUGUUUCCCGUUUUUGGGACUGAAGAGACUCCAACAUGCGAUCAAUAAGCACCUUGGUGGCAGAGCCGAGCUGAAGCCUGAAGAGCUCCAGGUGGACAUUUGCAGACACCUUGCCAAAGAAAAUGCAGAACUGCUGGAGAACUUGUACAGCACAACCAUCGCGUCCUUCAGUAGCAGCUGGGAAGGGAUCCGGGCAGGUGCCGCCAACUUAGCUGGCAUCAUCCUGGAACACACAGACACUCAGCGUAUGAAAUGGCUGGACCUGGAACAUCUGCUGAUGUCUCUCCGGGUCCUAGAGAAAGACCCAAGUCCCACUGUCCAGCUGGUGGCAACGGAGAUCAUAAGUGACAUCUGUCCUGGCGGAGCGCUUGGCGAAUGAAGCAGAACGGAGACAAACAGAACAAGGCGCUCCAGUGGUAUAAGGGCCCUACCAUCAAUCAAAUGUUAACCCCACCCCUUGACCCCGGCAGCAAGAUGUGUCAUGUGACCCCUCUAAGAACUCCUCCCACUUUCCUCUACUAAUCAGGAUGGGUUUCGCCCCAAUAGGAAUGCCCAGAGAGAAGACUUGACCAAUCAGGGGGAGUUCUGGGGCAGGUGACCUGUCCUUUGUGUGACCCCUCUAAGAACUCCUCCCACCGCCAUCUACCGAUCAGGAUGGGUUUCAGCCACUGGGGAUCACUCCAAGAGGAGAUUUGACCAACUGGGGGGAAUUCUGGGGUGGGGUGACCCAUCCGGAAGUGCUUCAUGUGACCCCUCUAGGAACUCCUCUCACCACCCUUUACCAAUUGCAAUGGGUUUCAGCUGCAGAGGACUGCCCCAAGAGGAGAGUUGACCAAAACAGGGUGGGUUCUCGGAAGGGGUGAGCCUCCCAGAAGAGGGUCAUGUGACCCCUCUAAGAACUCCUUCCAAUGCCCUCUGCCUAUCAGAGUGCAGCACAUCACCUCAUAAGUCCCAGCGCUGGGCAGAGGAGGCCAUCUCUUACCAAGAAGAUGUGUUUUAUGAAUUGUGGAAAGGCUGAGAGGAGACAUGGACUCCUUUACCUCUCCCCUGAGAUCUUCAGACUUUGUUUUAGCCCCGAGGACCUUUUGGGCUUGUAUGGAUAAAGCGCUAUAGCAGUUACAGUUCCGAGGAGGGCCCUUUGACUCGACCAUUGAUAGAUACCUCAGGACCCGCCCCAAACCCUCGUGAAGAACCCCAAUGAGUGUGACAACCCCCCCCUAAAGUGGGAAGAUGAUCAUGGCUUGGGGGAGUCACUGGUGGACAAGGUGAACGGGAAAGACGUUGCUCAGCUCGACGAUGCCUUUCAAGAGGCCUUUGAGAACGUACACAUCGGUAGCCCUGUCGUGCAUCAGCUGUUUUUGCUCCUGUCUGAGAUGCAGCUCUCAAGAGGAAAAUCCGGAAAAGGAGAAAAUAGAAGAAUGAACCAGCUCAGAGUCUUUCGUUGUAGGGGUCACGGCGUCCAUUUUUACAGGUGUCUGUCAAAGGUUGUGUUAAACCAGGCAAUUAAUUAAACUUAUUUAAAUGUGUCCCUGUGACUUUAUUCCCCUCCAUACUUGCGUUAGUAAAAGACGGUACCAGGAACAGUCCUGUCUCCACAGACAACUCUGUUAAUGAAAAUAUAUUGCAUCCCCAGGGAAGCUGGGAGCUUUGGUGGGGGAAUCCUCUUUCUGAGUGGCCAAAAAGCACAGUAAAACUUUAAAUAGAAGACAGGUAACAGCUUGGCUUUCAGAUCAGAUGCUUACACUUUACACAAACUGGCUCAAAUACAUUUUAAAAGAAACAAGACCAUUGUUUCAGAUGUGGACGCGCAAUGGCAGGCAGAUCUGGUAGAUGUGCACCGGUUCUCCAAACACAACAGAGGCUUUAAGACGUGUUAUCUGACUUUAUAAAGAGUGACAACCGGCGCUUUCACAGAACUAUACGUACCAGACCUGCUGAUGUUAAUCCUUCACAUUCUCUGAAGAUAUGGAAAACAGUUUAUAGAGAUGGUUUUAAAAUAAAACCAGUUGUUGCCCCUUUUAGAAAAGGCAACCAUGUGAGACUAUCUAAACUCAAAGGAGCCUUUGAAAAAGGUUAUGAACAGACGUUUACUGAUGAGCUAUUUAUAGUGGAUGAAGCCUUAACCAGGAGCCAGAGACCUAUAUACUGAUUAAAAGAUUACGAGGGUGAGACAGUUACUGGAUCUUUUUACCCUGAAGAAUUACAAAAAGUAAACCCCAAAUGAGACAGGAUUUACAGGAUCAAAAAAGUUCUAGCGGAUAAAGGAAAAGGGAGAAGAAAGCAGCUACUGGUGAAAUGGUUUGAGGAGGCGAUAAGUUUAACAGCUGGGUGGAAGCUUCUCAACUCUGUGACAUUUAGACACAAACAAAAGAAACAAACAAAAAGAUUCCUCCUGCAAAGACAGAGAGAGAGAAAAAUGAGCGACAGCAGAUUCUACAUUACGUUGCCCAGCAAUGCCAGCUCUGCAGUUUUUCCUCAGAACACCAGCUUGAACUUUACAAUACGGCUAAUUAAGCCCUAGGAUCUCCGGAGAGCCUGGGAGGUGGGUUAGUGGAAAUAUAAUACCCGCACAGCCGGAACACUAUCAACGAAGACACCCCUUUUGAAAUCACCUUUGCAGGUAUGGCCUGGAGUUUAUCCUACAACGAGGUUAUUACUCGUCCAUACCUGAAUUAUUGGAUCAUAUGAACAGUACUGUGGCUCGUCACCCCACACCGCCUGAGGUGGUCAUGAACUACGACCCUGGGGGUAGAAAAGUUAGUCUUAAAUCUGCCGAUUUUACUUCUAUGUUUUCUAUCAGCGGGGAGCUAGCUAACGUUCUAGGUUUGGGCCCGAAGCACAGCGUCCAAAAAUUCCCCUUCUCAGCAGACAUCACAGGGCUUUUAAUUUCUUGCGUCUGUUCACAUAUUGUAGAACACGAGUUUGUGGGGAACUUUUCUGUUCCCCGUUACGUUGUGUCCCUGUCCGAGGAAGAAACAACGAGUUUGUCACCAUCACCUACGAUAAACCUCAUUACGUUCCUGUCAGAAAACACCACAUCGAUACCAUUACCAUUGAAAUAGACAGAUCAGAACAGACACGUCUUGUAUUGCUUUGGCAAGGUGAUCAUCAAGGGGCACCUGUGUCCCUGGAGAGAGCGAGGCUUCUAAAAAGCAAAACAUUAUGGCGAUCCUAAAAAAUUACAGCGACCCCACCAUCUACAGGAACUAUUACAAAGCCCAGGUGGGAUAUGCCCUUCCUGGAUGUAUGGGGCUGGCGUAGGUGGAAUAUUCCGUAACCGAGCCUCUGCAACCAGACUUCGAGGCAGAACACUGCGUGAGAGAACAUAUGAAUCUGGUACAGACAGCUGGUAAACAGGUGAAAGAUCGUUCUCUGUUAAUCAACCGUGAGGAGUUUGCACGGGGUUACACCUUGUUUGCCUUUGACCUGUCUCCCAACCAAGAAUGCACCAAUCACUGUUCCCUGUUUAAAACCGGGAACCUGAGAGCAGAAAUACGUUUUGGGACGGCUUUAACCGUCACCGUCAAUAUGAUCGUGUAUGGGGUUUUUGACAACAUCAUAGUGAUAAAUCAGAGGAGAAAUGUUCUGCUUGACUAUAUGUGAACAUGGACACCGUGCAGCUCUCACGUGUCUCAUCAAUGACCUCUUACACAAAAAAGAAUUCCCUUAUGAUUGGCUCCCUGGCAGCAAGCUCUCUGAGACCCUUAGGUUUGGUGGUCAACACGCAUCCACAUAACCAACCUGGUGAAUGUUGGCUCACCUUGUAUCUGGUGAGGUGUAACCGUGGAGAGUUUUUUGACUCAUACGGGCACCCCCCCGAAUAGCGUGUUGUUUCCUAAAAGCAUUAUGAAAUUUUUAAACAAAAAUGCCACAGAUAAUGUGUUUCACAAUAGACAAUUACAAGACCCCCACUCUGUCGCCUGCAGCGAUCACUGCGUGUUUUUCUUACAUCAUCGUAGCAAGGGUUUAUCUUUUGACUGGAUUUUAAAAUUGUAUUCUAACGACUUAGUGCAAAACGACCGGAUGGUGAUGAAUUUUGUAAAAACUAAAUUUAAAUUCUUGGGCAUAUCUAGCCUUGCUUAAAACAUGUUUCAACAAGCCCAGACGUGUAUCUUGCAAUGAUUUUUAUAGCCAUGUUAUCCAAUACUCUCAGGCAUAACAGACAAUGUUUGUUUGGUAUUAUCCAACACAUUUUCCCACAGUUGCUAGGCCCCGCAGAAAUUGCAGAAAAGGGGUGUUUCCACCUCACAACCAUUUUUAAAGCCAUAGGGCAGGGUUUUAAACCCUUCUCCUAGGACCUUCUUGGUGGAAACGACUUUCUGUGUUUUCUUAAGGGUUUUUGUCUUUAUUUGCCACUGAUUUUUGUUCCUUAUGAUAGAGGGCUGCUGAACCUCUAUCUUUUUGGAGGUGUUUUCUCACAGGCCCGUGCAAUAGUCCAGAACUAGAUCUUUCAAACUGUCCAAGUUGAUCUUUUCACAAUUUGCUACGUUCAGGGUAAUACUUUUUGACUUUCAUGCAGGUCUUUCUUCCCGGCAGCUUUUACCCGUAUGUUUUCGGUCCUGCCGACACAAACUCGGUGAUGUGUUGAUCUGGCGGGAUCUUGCCUAAAUAAUUCCGCAGAGGAGGAUUCCAGUCACCCUCCUUUUUCACAAAUAUCACCAAGUCAGUGUCAUGGUACAGGCACUGCUUUUGCAACCUGUCUAGCAGGUUGUAUAGUUCUAUGCAGGCAUAAGCAGUGGUGAAACAGGCUAUGAAAACACUGGUAUUUCCAGAGACAUAGUACCGGUCUUUUGGGUCCUUUCAAGACACUCAUGCUGUUUCAUCGUUGAUAAACUUGCAGGAUGAAACCUUAUAGUUGAGGGAAAACAGGUACUGAAAGAGUUUGUCAGGGUCUCUCAACACUGCUGGUAUUGGGUAGGUUUGUGGAGCAGAUGAUAUUAUUAUUAUUAAUCACAUGAAACUGUCUUGUAAACUUAAAAAUAAAAUAUUCAUUAGGGUAUUUUUCUAUUUAAAAAGUCAUAGCUUUAAAACAAAAUAAUCCAUUUCAGGCUGUAUAACAACAGGAGUUUUGAGUUUUUCUACCAUUUUAAAACAACAAACCUACAAACUUUUUUUUAAAUACACCUCAUUUUGCAAACUAAAAACCAAACGGCUUUUAAAAUCAACUUCUAAAAUCCAGGUUAAAACACAUUUUGCACACUAAAAAAACAACACCCUGUUAGUUUGAAACACACCGUUACCAUCAGUUUGCAGCCAUAUACUUAAAAAAAAAAUCCCACCUAUGUUUUACAGAGAGAGAGAGAGAGAGAAUUUAAAACCCACACGCAUUUAAAAGCCAAUUUCAGAAAGUUACCUUCUACUACAGGAUAAAGUGUUGCAGGCACAUGCUUGUUCUGUCCCCCUCAAUGUGUGUUUGGGCCUUUGGAUUAAAGAACAAGCAAAAACUGUUAGUUAGUAUUAGCCCCAAAUCCCUAUACAACCUGUGUAGUACCUGAAGUUAUUAAGCAAAACUACAGUUAAAAUGGUUUUUACCUUGGCCUGGUGAUGAAAUGCAAUUUAAAGUUACUAGUUCUGUGCUAAACAGAUCACACUGCAAUAAACAUAGGCACCAUUAUUUACUAAGACAGCACAGCCAACGAGUGAUAUUAUACAAUAUAUAUUUUCAGAGUUUAAAACAGGGAGCAUACCUCCUCUUGCAGCCCAGCAGCCAUUCAAGAGUUUCUGUUGGAAAAAAAGUCUCCAAAAUACCUGAGGUUUUCAUACUAUCCAAGCCCUUUGUUUCAAAAGGACUUCAAAAUAGUAGCCAGCAGGUUGAUUUGAUCGCUACAGCUCUGAAAUACUAGAGACUUAAGGACUUUAGGCCCCUUCCUAACAUUCCCUUUUGUGAGCUGGGGUGGGGGAAUUAAGCUGUCUGCACAACUGAGGUGCUUUCGGCUACAUUUUUUCUUUUAGUUAAAAUACAUUUUUCUGUAGGGCCUUCUUACAGUAUUAAACAUAAAUCCCCAAUCCUUAAUGUAACUGCUCCCCCCCCCCCGUCCCAAGUGGGGACCUUUUGCAGAUAUCAAUACAUAUCUUUAGGGCUUGUUUUUUAAAACGUUUCUUUCAUGCAUAAAGUUUGGGGUGGGGGUUGAAAUAAAAUGGUUGUAUCACAGCCAUAAUAAGCCCCCUAGAGCUUUUAAAUGUUUGAUUGUCUUUAGAGCAAAUGCUUCUUCUAAAGCAUGGUGAAGGUUUGUGAUCCCUUGAAACAUUUCAGUUUUGGUUUAGACCCUGGGGUGUGUGUGUGUGUGUGUUUGUUGUAAAUAUAUUAAUUUAAACUUUUAAUGGCUUUGAAUUGACCCAUAGCAUCCAACCAACUCCCGGGUCAUAUUUAAACUGUCCAAUAGCACUCUGUCAACUCCAGGGGUUAUAUUUAAACUGUCCAAUAACAUCUGCAAAUUCCUGAGGUUUUAUUUCAUUUCAUAUUAAUCAAAACUCACCCACCCACCUCCCUUACUAUGGGUGCACACCAAUCAAAUUUAUCCCUAUGGCAACAACGAUAAGUAGUCACAGUUACCUUCACUAUUCAGUGGGGGUGUGGUUAAAACCAUUCAGUUCAACAGGAUGAGUCAAUUCUAUUGUACUCAAACAUAUGUCUGAACCAUCCCUGUUUGUUUUACUGUUGUAAGCAGAGUCAGGGUGAGAUCUACCCUGACAUUUGGUGGUGAGUUGUGGAAAAGAAUGUCAGGGGUUGAUCUCGUUUGCACAGGCACACCCACCCCGCCUAGCAUGAGCCCACAGUAGCCCAAAUGGUCACUUUGGCUGCUGUGAAAUCCCCAGUUUCUCUGUUAUUGAGGCAGGAAGAAUAAAGUCUUGUUAUCCUGAUUAUCUGAAUCAAGGACAGUGGAACUGUACUUGGCCUUUUAUGACGGAGGGACUCACCAUCAACUAAGUAGCACUCGCUAGGCAAGGGACAUGGGUUCCAAAACUCAGCAAAUUGAGAGAGGCUGGGGACAGGUAUUUGUACCUGGUGGGCCCCAGACACUAAUUCCAUCUCUUCUUCCUGUCUCCACUGUGAAAUGUUAGUGCUAAUUUUGAUUCCAUGAAGAGUCUGAUUACAGACUGCAGAGCUGAAUUCACUUUGGGCUAAUGGUGAACCAGCACUGAGUCCUCCCUACUACUUAACACAGUAAGUGGUGAUUUUAGCUUGUAGUAGGGGAGCCUCAGUGCCCCACUGGCUGAGGGCUUGAGCCAGUUUUGCAUUGUGUUAUUGGACUGGAGUUCCUAGCAACUGAACGCAGCUCUUGUUGCUGCCAACUCUGAUGGGCUGAAUGGUUACACUGUAAACACAUUUUUAGGAUUUUUCUUCUCCCACAACAUACAUUUCAGCUUUUUGCUGUAAAUGGGUCUUUUUUACACAAAACCACAAAAGUUAGAUUCUCACAAACCAUUUUUUUUUAAUUUAAAAGACAUACAGCUUCUUGAAAACAAACCAAGAGGCUCCAUUAAAACUUUUAGCUCACUUAAGGGCCAGAGACCUUCUAACAGAAAUGCAUAUAGUCACAGAGCCCUUUUCAAUAGAUGUUUUUUUUAAUUUACAUAUUUAAAUUUACAAAUUUAUAUAUAAAGUUGAAGUCCAAAUCACACAGUCAUGGUGCCAUUGGGCUGGGGCAUCUAUGACAUAGCCCUCACAAUCUUCAAAAAGCUUUUCCCUAAGACAGUUAUUAAGAACAGCAUAAACAGCAAUGCAUACGAUAGUCCACAUACAUUUUUACACUCACAAUGUGGCACUGGCUCAGCGAGUUCCAUGCCAAACCUUCUCCUAAACUCCUUAUAACCUUCAUCCUCGAAGUCCUCUUCAACAAUUUUUAGCGGCGUUCAGCAAAAACAAGGCGGGCCCGGUUCAUCUUUGCUGCUUGAUGCAACGUUGUCCAGGGCCUCCGGGUCCUCUAGAAAGGCAUCAUCGAGCUGUCUCAGACAAGAAACAAGUGUAAGUUCUCACUGCUUGUUAUUUAGAUUUACACAACCCCAGGUUCCUAACCUCAUUACACCUCAUCAUCAACUGUCGCUUCUUAAUCAUUCAUUUACCUGAGCGACGUCUUUUCCGUUCAGCUUGUCCGCCGGUAACUCCCCCAAGCAAUGAUCGCCUUCCUCCUCCAGGGUGGUGGACAACGAGGCCACCAUGCUCAUUGGUGUGUCUCAUGAAUGGUUGGGCUUUGGGUUCAGGUUCUGGCGUAUCCAUCAAUGGCUGGGCCAAAGGAAUCCCCUCGCCUGUUCCCUCAACUUCUUCGGAACUGUUGCUGCUGUAGCACUUUCUCCACAC